GAAGCUGGCACAGCAUCAGGUUGUACAGCACAUCAGGUUGUACAGCAAUGCUGCUGAGCUGCAGCACCAUCGCUUUGUCCCACCACAUACCCUGUGGUGUUUCAAACUGUUAUUCAAAUAUUCUUACAGGGUGCACCUGAGGAUCGAAUCAUCAGUGUCAGCUCACUGCUGGAGGCUGCUGGGGAUACCAAGGUGUGAGGAAUGACAGCUCUUCACACUUCAGAAGUUGUGCUCCAUAGGCUACCAGGAAGAAAUUAACUUCAUCCCGGAUAAAACCAGAACGCUCCAUUCUGCCUUCCCUUCUUCCACGUGAUUCUGAACUCUCAUCCCAUUGGCAAGUUUAUCUCAGUUGUCUUCCCCUUCUGCAUAUCAGUUCUUCCUCAAGUUUUCCUCAUUUAAACGCGAAGGUAAAAGAGCCUGAUGUCUGUUUGCUUUAACCAUGUAUGCAAUAUAGUUAAUAUAUACAAGCAACAAAACUUAUUUUUUAAAUAUUUUGUAUUAAAACAUAAAAAAGAGAGCACCAAAAGCACUGAUAUGAAAGGGCAGGUAAUUCUCUGAAGAUGAAGCAGCUAUCAAGUCAUAAGUCUAACUGUGUCUCCUCUGAUCACGGUGUUCACCUGCACAAAGUUACGUGUCGAUGCUUUAGGGAUGUGGUCAAAAACAAAGCAGGCAGUGGAGUGCCUGAGCUGCAGGACAGGUGGGCCUGAGGCCUGCCCCCGUGUCCCCAGCGAAUUCUCAGCUCCCUCCUGGCCCUCAUCUCCUGGGCUCUCAGGUCCCACCACAUCGCCCAACUGCUUCACAAGAAUCAUCCCCUGAAGCAGUGACAGGCUGUGGCAGUUGUGCACAGAGCUCUGGAGGUUGCCUGUGCCAGGAGGAGGAUCACUGUCAUUUGUCUCCCUUCAUCCUCAGUGCCCAAGGCUCAAAAUAACCCCUCUUGCAAGGCUCCUGCGUGGGGCCGGGCCUGCUGCUGUAGAUGAUACGCCUCCACGAAUAGCACUCGAAGACAUUCCUCAGCGGGUAGCUUGCCUUCUAUAUCUCACUGCAACGUGUUGCUGUGCAGGAGCUGGACAACUGCACUGUGUCCUAAGAUGGCAGGUGCUAUUCUUAUCCCAGAAAGUCUUGCUCCGUCCGGCACAGCUCCUUUCUCAGCUGCAAUGUUAACAGUCAGAAGCAGGCCGGAGAGGCCCCUCUGCAGCCGGUGGAAUGGCAGUGUGUGAGCGCAGCGCCUGGGUGCUUGCCCUGCUCUGCUGGGAUGUGCUGUGCCACCAGGAGCAUGGCAGCUGCACAGGAACUGUCGGUGUUCAGCUGGGAAUCAGCUUGGAACAGGUGAAGACAUCACUUCUCUUGACAUCGACAAUGAGAAGCAAAGUCUGUGCAUGUGAAAGCUCACUUUUUGCUGCUCAGAAUGAGAACCCAAAUCCGUGAAUGCCUUCCCAUGGUGAGGAAGGCAGCAGUACUUGUUCCAAGCUUCCUGCAGGGCUGGCAGCACUGCAGAGAGCCAUGUCCCCUCUCAGCCAGGUGGAGUAAGAGCAGCUCAUGCUGACAUCAAACACUGGACAGGGGCCCCAGUGCAUGACAUGUGAUGUGAGUCACAAAAUGCACCGUAAUGUGGCUCUUGUUGCUGAAAAAAAUAAUAAGCUGGAAAACAAGAGAGAGGAAGUAUGAGUAACCACAGUGCUGAAGGGGGUUUGAAAUUGUGCUUGAGAGAGCAGGGAGGAGACAGGGAGGGGGAGAACAAGAUGUGUGUGUGAAGGAAGCGGCAGGAGUGAGAAGAUGGUAGAGGAUGGUGGGAGUGGGAGAAAUGACAACUCUGCGUCAGGUUGAGUUAAGAAAGGUCAGAGGAAACAGGAGGAUAAAUUAUUGGUAAAUAAUAAAAUGGCAAUCUACACAUGACCAUCUAACCCAUGGCUGUCCAACCUUUUGGCUUGCCUGGGCCACGUGGAGUGAAGAGGAAGCCCAGCUUGUGGCUACCACCUUUGCAUGUGGGUUUUUUGGCUGUUGAAGGAUAUGACGAGAAGAAAACAACAAACACAGCAGAGGAGGAGAAAGGAGCAGAGGCUGAGCAACUUUGAGGGAUGCCAGGAAGGAGAGGUUAGGUAUGUAAUGGGCAAAGGACCGAAGCAGUGAUCUGAGCCAGGGAGGACGUCUGCAGGAGGAGCAGAGGCAUGGAAAAAAAAAAAAGACAGACACUGCUAUAAAGCCUGCUGUAUGAUCAGGACCAAAGUGGGACAUUGAUGUGAGAGAAAUGGAAGAUGAGUUGCUUACUGCUUUAUGGAGAAUGAGGGUCAUUUUGCAUUCUCACUCUAUUUGUGGAGUCAGAAUGCCUGUCAUCUGAUCAGAGCCUGUGCAAAGGUCUUGAGAAAAAUACCAGUUCAUAGUGGCCAUAAAAAAGGACCUCUGAGAGAAAGUUUAAAAUAGAUGCAACUGAUGGGUUUAUAUAGAGCUGCUGUCCUGUGUGGACUGUAUGAACUUCAGGAAACCUCCUGAGCCCAACAGUAGCAAUUCAGUUCUAGCAGAACAAGUGGGUUGAAAACAUUUCCCUUCAGACACGCUGUCAGUAAAGCCACAUUCAGCAGUUCACAGUAAGGAGCCCCUGGAGAGAAGGAAAUCACACAGAACCCAAGUUUUGCUGUUAGGGCUUCAGAGCAGUGCUCUUACAGCUCCAGCAGAGUAGGCACCACCAUCUCCACAUGCCAGCAGCUCCAUGAGGUCAGCACAGUGCUGCUUGGAGAAAUACAAUUCAGUGUACACGGAGUGUUUGGAACUGAAGCACUAAGGGGCAAAAUGCAGGCUUAGCAAAUACAUGAGGCAGAGAGCAGUGCAGGGUCAUGGGAUGGCUCUGCUCUGAGAUUCUACAACUGGGAAGGCAUUGGCCAAGUGUAGCAGCAGGCGCUUUGAGGAAUCUGAGGGACUAACUUGCAAGGAAGGCAACAUAAGCCUGUAUUGCUUGACAAAGCAGUAAUUGACUGAAUUUGGCACUGCACCUUGAGAUGCUCUGGGCAGCCUGGUCUACUGGUUGGUGAUCCUGCCCAUGGCAAGGGGGUUGAAACUAGAUGAUCUUUGAGGCCCAUUUUCAACCCAGGCCAUUCUAUGACUCUAUGAUUCCAUGCAACAGAUUUGGGAUACCUUUUCUCAGGCCAUUGUCCUCUUUGAGAUGUUAAGCAACUUUCUCUCUUCCUUUGGACUCAGUGUUCACUUCUCCUUUUGCAUAAAUUCAGAUCUUCUCGUGUACUUUGUGACAAGAGACUUGGAGAGAAACAUCUGUCCCUAAAAGACUUAAAGUGAGGUGAGCAGGUAAUUUCCACAGAACAGAGAAUGUAAGCACUGCCAGACUGCCCCAGCUGCUCAUCUCCACGUGGGGCACCCUGGCUGCUGGCUGUCCAGUGGCACAUCACCAUCACUGUCUCCUGAUGGAGCUGGUUUGCUUUGCACAGCUAAGUUGCAGUUCAGAGGGAGCAGAGGCGUAUAUGCUUCCCUCUGUCUGUCAGGUGGAUAUAGAGAGCAGUUAGGUUGACCACCACGGAUAAAAUGAGCCUGUUGACAAAUUUCCUGAGGAUGCAAAAGGAACUUUUCCGCAACACAGGAAGUUAGUUUAGAAAAUAUUCUGCUAAGUAGGUAACUGCACUGCUGUGAUCACAGCACUCAGCAGAUAUUAUGGUGUCCUAACCUUGAAAAGUCUAACAUUUAAAGAGAACAGGAUUAUACAAAUUCCAGUACCAGUAUAUUUCCACUUACAGCACUGAAACCUGCCCAGAAGUGGGAUUUGUGCAUCUGUCUAAGAUGAGUGUCAGCAAAGGAAGAUAUCACUUCAUUGCUCUCUUUUUUAGGAUGCAGUUGUUGCUAGUUCUAAUAUUAUGCACCUAAUCCUGAU
ensembl:lncRNA